AAGCACCCUCUGUAUCCAUGCGAUGUAGUGAAAGUUACAAAAGUGAGCAAAUUUACUAGGUGUUGACCAAUAAGAUUAUAAAUAUUUUAGUAAAUUCGCUCACUUUUGUAAUUUUUACUACACUGCGUAAAGAUACUUUUUCAUACUGUCGCUCGUCGCUCAUUUUUAGCGGCAAAAUGAUCACGUGACUGAGUAUAUCGCUCAUGAAAACAAAAGUAGCGACAGAAUACAGUGAUUUAUUAUUAAUAUAAUCUAAUAAGUAAAAUUAAAUGUCAAGUUUGAGAAAAAGAGCUUGAUUACAAGAAGGAGAGUUGGUUAUAUCUCUUGGAGGUUAAGUCAAAAGAGGUGAAAAAAAUUCGAAAUGUCCUACGAAGAAAAAUAUGCAGAAUGGAUUUCCGAACCCAGCAAACAAUUUCUGUUUUUGACAAUUUCGGCGCAGACCUUGGUAACAGAAACUGUUUGCAGAAAUGCUACAAUACGGAAACACUGCCAAAAUUGUUAGCAUACAGAAAGAAGAAACGCAACAACUCUGUUGAUAAUGAAAUACAUGAGAGUAUUGCAGCCAAAACGAUUCCAUAUAUGUCAGUGAAAUUAACAACAAAUAGAUGGUCAAUUGCAAGCAGAUCUGCUUCUAGCAAUACUGUGAUCAAACAGUCCGCAAAAUUGUACCAGAAAUCUGUUUACGACAAAAGUCGGGUCGAUCUGUUAAACGCAUUGACGACAGAUUGCCACCAAACGCCAAGCAGGUCUUCGUGUAUACGUGCGGACUGUUUGCAAUUUGGCGCCAACAGACAAUGACCAAACCUAUUCCGGAUUUUGGCUUUACUUUGGCGAUAAUUAAGCUUUGCUUUGCUUGUGGCAGACUCUGUCAUCAUUUUGGUCGCAUUUUGACAUUUCACAUGUUAACAGACAUGGUUAACAAUUCAUAUCCUACUAAGGACACAGAUGGAUAUGGUUUUGUAACCAAAAUGUUUGCUGGGAAUGUAUGAAUACGUAUAACAUUUGGUAUAGAAACGUGCAGCGUCAAAUAGCAACAGCAGCGUGUGUUAUGACAGUAUUAGAAAAAAAGCAAAAAACAAUACAAUAGAAAACGCCACUAGAUAAAUUCAAUUUUUCAAGCUCAUCACAAAUAUGGUUUUUUUCAUAUGGUUUUAUCCCGCUGUAAUCUCACAAAUGAACAAUUUAAAAACUAUUAUCGUAUGACUGCAACUCAGUUUGAGCAAUUAUUAGAUUUAGUGGCUCCUUUAAUUACAAACAGUUAUUCACGAACCAAUAUCUGCAGCUGAACGAUUAUCUAUUACAUUAAGGUAUUUAGCAGCUGGAGAUAUAGUGACAUCAAUUUCUUAUCAUUAUCUGGUUGAAAUUACAACAGUUGCCAAUAUCAUCGGUGAAACAUGUGCGGCCAUUUGGAAAUGUCUUCAUACAACUGUGAUUCCUCUAACAAAAACCCAAGAAAAUUGAUUGGCGAUUGCUCGAGAAUUCGUGGAUAGCUGGAAUUUCACUUAUUAUAUUGGUGCAAUUGAUGGAAAACACAUUAAAAUUGAAUGUCCACCAAAUGCAGGUUCCGCAUACUUUAACUACAAAAAUCAUCACAAUAUAGUCCUACUUGGCUUUGUGAUGCAUAAUAUUUAUUUACAUUUGUUGAUAUUGGAGCUUAUGGUCGUCGAAGUGAUGGCGGCAUCUUUCGUGACUCUAUCAUUGGUCAAAACUUUGUCAAUAAAAAGAUGAAUUUGCCUGAUAAGAAACCACUUUCACCAGAUGGACCACCUUUGCUAUAUGUUCUUGUUAUAGAUGAAGCUUUCCAGUUGAUUGAUUACCUAUUAAGACCAUAUCCUAGAAAAGCCGGGUUAAACCAAGAACGAUGUAUCUAUAACUAUCGUUUAAGAGAGAUGGUUUGGAGAACCAUUGAAAACACACUCGGUAUCAUUGUGAGCCAGUGGAGAAUUGUACGUCGGCCAAUUAAUUGUAGUGUGGAUAAAACCAUAACUAUCGUUCAAGCCAUUGUAUGUUUACAUAACUAGCUUCGAAAAAGUGAUGUAGGUAUCGAUGACUAUGCAUCACAAUCAAUUGUAGAUAAAGACGAUGCAAAUGGAUUUGUUCCGGAUUCUUGGCGAAGCAUCAUUGACAGUAGUGCAUUAACCAAUUUUAAUAAGUGUGGCUCUAAUAACGCAACUCGUGAAGCAAUAGCUAUUUGAAAUGAAUUUUGUAAAUAUUUUUAUAGUGAAGGUGCCAUACCGUGGCAGUUUGAAUAUUGUUAGUAUAAUUUUUUUAAAUAAGCUUAAGCUUCAAGCUCAACAUUAUUAUUAAUUAAUAAAGACUUAAGGCU